CCAGUUUUGCCCUGUCCAAUAUGGCGUCCACGUUGAUGUAUCGCAGCAACGGGCUGAAGCGUCCAAUGCGGCGUCUAUGUAUAUAUGUCUAUGGCAACAACUCCAGUGCAUUUUGGGUU